CUUCUUUCUUUCUGCUCUCUGCGGCGACUACAGACUACAGUGGUCGCGCCGGUCUCUGCUUCUUUCCUUUGUCUCCGGUUCUCCGAGGAAAGAUACUACGGUGGUCUCCUCCCAAUCUGCGACGGCGACGGCGACAGCGCCCAAGGUACUCUGCUGCUCGCCUCCUACCCCUCCUCCUCUGUUCCAUACAUUUCCUUGGAUCUGGUUAGCGCACAGCUCUCUUCCUUUCUCAAUUCUUCGUGGUUUUGAUGUUGCAGAGUUCGAUCCAUUCAACGUAUGCUCAGCUCAGCAGAGGUGGAGAGUUGCUUUUCGGUGUUGGAGACGCUCUUCUUCAGCUCGCCCUCUUCAUUGAUCCAAGCCAGGUGAUGCAUUUUUUUUUUGUGCCGUCCGUCACAAAGUUCAGCUGUGUAGGUAGAUCCAGAGCCGACUGCGUCCCCAUUACAGCUGUGUGGGUAGAUCCAGAGCAAGGGGAGGGUCAGCUCUUGCUUGAUCUGUUUCUCCCCUCCUUGUUGAUCUCUUGCUGCUAUUUUUUACUGUAUAAUUAUAUUACAGUAAAAGUGUUAAAAUAUGUACAUUAGGAAAAAGAAAAAGGAAUAAGAUAAAAUAAAGUAAAGAGAAAAAAAUGGUCAGUGGUCAGAGCUUAGUAUCUAUCCAUGUUCUGAGGGAUGCUGUACGUUUUCUUUUCACUCUGUCCAGCUUUUCCAAACAAAAUCAGAUCAUACUUUUCCAAACAAAUUAGUAUCUGAAAACAAUUAGUAUGUCUAGUUUUUCCAAACAAAAAUCAGAUCAUGCUUUUCCAAACAAAUUAGUACUGGGAGCUGUUACUUUCACGAAACACAAAUGUCCAGCUUUUGCUCAUCCGGUAGUUUUCUGAAAACAGUUAGUUUGGUUUUUGCUGAUUCUGACAUGAAUUUAUUUUAUGCAGAACUGGAUCUAUAAUCUAUUCUCCAGUAGUUCAUCUUGGGCUGCUUUUGCUUGCGGAGGACUCUGCAAAUUGGAUUUGAAGGAGCUGCUAUUCAAGGUACCCUUCUUCUGCUUCUGCUUUGGAAAGAAGCAAUGCAUAUGCGCUAUGUUUACAGUCAUUUUCACCAACCAAUCAGGUUCAGGUUUUCCUCAUUCUGUGUUUUGAAAACCAUCAUGUUUGCAUUGCAGAAUUUCAAGCCAAAGACAAUGCUAU
rnacentral:lncRNA from 1 species